GUGGCAAGUUGUUGCCAUGGCAAUGCUAUAAGGUGUGGCGAGUUGUUGCCAGGGCGUUGCUAUAGGGGGUGGCGAGUUGUUGCCAUGGCAAUGCUAUAAGGUGUGGCGAGUUGUUGCGAGGGCAUUGCCAUAUAGGGGGUGGCAAGUUGCUAUAGGGGGUGGCGAGUUGUUGCCAUGGCAAUGCUAUAAGGUGUGGCGAGUUGUUGCCAGGGCAUUGCCAUAGGGUGUGGCAAGUUGUUGCCAUGGCAAUGCUAUAAGGUGUGGCAAGUUGUUGCCAGGGCGUUGCUAUAGGGUGUGGCGAGUUGUUGCCAUGGCAAUGCUAUAAGGUGUGGCGAGUUGUUGCCAGGGCGUUGCUAUAGGGUGUGGCGAGUUGUUGCCAUGGCAGUGCUAUAAGGUAUGGCGAGUUGUUGCCAUGGCACUGCU